rnacentral:tRNA from 1 species
GGCCCUGUGGUGAAAUCAUGUCGGAUUGCAAAUCCGGAGAAGCGGGUAAUUCCGCCGAGGCUU